CUGCAGAGGAAUCACCUCUCACUUUUUCCAAGCCCCUCUAUUCCCUAGGCAGGACUGUAGGCUGUUGAGGCUACACACCAGCUGGUGCAGCUCCGCAGCACCAUUUCUAUUUGACAGAUAAGAGGACCCCAGGUAUGUAAUAAAUGGUCAUGAAAGGUUCUGCUGAUUGUGGACACCAACAUACUUGCAGCUUCAUUGAAUGCUCUAGAAGGAGGUCCCCUCCCUGGGGCAAGCCCUGUCCUGGGAAUGGAAUUCAGACUGCAGGUCGGAGGAGGCAAGUGGAAAAGGCUGCGGUCCAGGCCUGCGGGUAAAACAGAGAAACGGCUGGCUGCAUCUUCCCUUUCUCUAUUUUCUUUCCUCCAGUGUACACAAAGUGCUGACGUAAAAUUUUCUGGUCUUCAUCAACAAUCAUCUUCAAAUAGCAAAGUGGAGAAGGCAGCAAGAAGGGCAAUAAACCCAGGGAAAGAAAAGAAAGAAGUCAGCAGCCAUGGAGGGAGGCUCACGCUUCAAGAAACAAGAUCUAAAGCUUCCUUUCCCAAUAUUAACAUGGGCACCUCCCGGGCCUGAGCUCAUCCUACCUGCACACACAGCCCUUCAGAAGAAUCUUGGAGAGCCACUGCCGAAGUCAUUACUGCUAUCCUCAUUCUGCCCCAUAUUGUGAAUAUAGCAAUCAAAGGGGCACCUCAUGCAUAAUGGGGAAUUUUCCCAGCAUCCAACUCUUAGGAGUACGUGCACCAGAAAGGGCCAACCAAGGUCGAGUGCUUAUUAGUUUAAUAAUUGGAACACCCGUGGUACUUCCUGCCAAGUGUCCAAAGACAUGACAAUAAAGUUUUUCCAUUUGGCACUGGUGGUUUGGGGGUGAAACCUGCUGGUGCACACAGGGCUGGAGUUGAGGAGCUGGAGGUCACCCUGACCCUUGCUCCUGGAGCCAUCACCUGAUGAUCCAUGAUCAUCAGACUUGCAUUUCCAUGUGAAUGAGCCAAGGGAAGAAGUGUUUCUGAGUUUUAUGGGCCUUUUAUUC
rnacentral:lncRNA from 1 species